GAUGAACGCUGGCGGCGUGCCUAAUACAUGCAAGUCGAGCGAACAGACGAGGAGCUUGCUCCUCUGACGUUAGCGGCGGACGGGUGAGUAACACGUGGAUAACCUACCUAUAAGACUGGGAUAACUUCGGGAAACCGGAGCUAAUACCGGAUAAUAUAUUGAACCGCAUGGUUCAAUAGUGAAAGACGGUUUUGCUGUCACUUAUAGAUGGAUCCGCGCCGCAUUAGCUAGUUGGUAAGGUAACGGCUUACCAAGGCAACGAUGCGUAGCCGACCUGAGAGGGGGGUCGGCCGAACGUGAACCUGGGCCAGGUCCCGGCGCCUAAGGGAGGGCACAGUAGGGAAUCUUCCGCAAUGGGCGAAAGCCUGACGGAGCAACGCCGCGUGAGUGAUGAAGGUCUUUGGAUCGUAAAACUCUGUUAUUAGGGAAGAACAAAUGUGUAAGUAACUAUGCACGUCUUGACGGUACCUAAUCAGAAAGCCACGGCUAACUACGUG
rnacentral:rRNA from 1 species